ACCAAACCCAGCCGAGUUAACCCUUUCUUCGUUCCCUUUCAAUCCCUCCGUUGCCUCCCUCUCCAGUCUCCACACCCUGGUUUGUUUUCUUGUCUUCUUCUUCGCUAGAUCAUAUCUCUCUGGUCUUGCACUGACAAUUUAGGACUAUGCCAAAAAUACAUCUUUGGGAAUGAUUUAAGACUUGGGUUAUUGAUUCAAACUGACUCUGCUGUUUAAAAAUGGAGGAGCAAUCGUUUUUUGAUAGAAUGAUUACUCAUCUCCGUUCAACUUGCAAGUAUUAUACUGGUUAUCCAAAAGAUCUAGGGCCAUCACGGGUUAUUCAUUUUACAUCCGAGCGUGAAUUUGUCCAGCUCCUUCAUCAAGGCCACCCGGUUGUUGUUGCAUUCACUAUCAGGGGGAACUACACAAUGCAUCUUGAUAGAGUGCUGGAGGAAGCUGCUGCUGAGUUUUAUCCAAAUGUUAAAUUUAUGCGUGUUGAGUGCCCAAAAUACCCAGGGUUUUGUAUAACGCGGCAGAAACAGGACUAUCCAUUCAUUGAAAUAUUUCAUAGUCCAGAACAAGCAGCCAACGAAGGAGGGUUGCUGAUCCGAAUAUUACAAGAUAUUCUGUAAAAGUUCUACCUGCUCAUGGGCAUUCCCUAUGUCAAAUAGGUUAUGCAUAAGCAUUGUUAAUUUCAUAUGUCAGUCACUUGGUUUCAUGACAAUAAGGUUCAAUUAUGAUCUCAGUGCUUAUGGAUUUAGAGAAUUCUUCAAGCGCCAUGGGAUACAGACAUUAGAUCCAAAGUAAAGAUUUGGCUAGAUUUCUUACCUUUUCUCUUUUCUUGCUUAAGAACUGAAAUGGUUUGUUUGUUGCUUACUUUGUGGUGAACGACAUCCAACCGUGGGUGCUGUUUUUUCCCUCUCCGUCUCUUGUACCACCUCUAUAUGGUGGCGUUUAACGGCGAAAAGCCUUGUUUUUAGCAUAAAAUAAUUGAAACUCAACCAUUGCGUGUUUAAAGUUGGUCAUUAUGAUCAAAACUCAGAAAAAUUACUGUAACUUCCUUUGCAGCUCUAAUUUCCUUAUUCUAUAUGCUCUAAAAUUA